rnacentral:rRNA from 1 species
UGCAGUCGAGCGCGAAAGUACUUCGGUAUGAGUAGAGCGGCGGACGGGUGAGUAACGCGUAGGAAUCUACCUGGUAGUGGGGGACAACUCGGGGAAACUCGAGCUAAUACCGCAUACGCCCUAAGGGGGAAAGCGGGGGAUCUUCGGACCUCGUGCUAUCAGAUGAGCCUGCGUUGGAUUAGCUAGUUGGUGGGGUAAAGGCCUACCAAGGCGACGAUCCAUAGCUGGUCUGAGAGGAUGAUCAGCCACACCGGGACUGAGACACGGCCCGGACUCCUACGGGAGGCAGCAGUGGGGAAUAUUGCGCAAUGGGCGAAAGCCUGACGCAGCCAUGCCGCGUGUGUGAAGAAGGCCUUCGGGUUGUAAAGCACUUUCAAUUGGGAGGAAAGGUUGACGGUUAAUACCCGUCAGCUGUGACGUUACCUUUAGAAGAAGCACCGGCUAACUCCGUGCCAGCAGCCGCGGUAAUACGGAGGGUGC